CCUCCUAUCGCUGCUGCGCCGGCGCCACCCCCUGUGGAUCUAGCCACCCAGAGGAAGGAGAGGGUCGCCCUCUUCUCCCCUCUCAUCUCCAAGCCAUCACUGCCUCCCUCUUUCUCUCCCAAUCCUCGAUCCGGUUUGGGGGCCAUCGGAAUCGAUGUUCUUGGCCUCCCCAACGGUCUCCUUGCUGGUGAAUCCGCGCCCCUCAAAGGGAAGGACAUAGGAGCGUUGGGGCUGAGUGAUUGGAGAGGCAGCAGCUCGGGCACGACAUUGACGACGGUGGUUGCGGCCCGGCGACGAUGGCAGGUGCAACGACAACGGCAGCAGUGGCUCGGUCUGCAUUACAGUACUGCUCAAGAUGCUGAAUAAAGGAUCUAGAAUCAGAAACUGUCCAAUUUGAUUUCUAGAAUCAGAAACUGUCCAAAUUCUAAGGUGUAUGGUAUCUAUUGGUUUUAGCAUGCUAGCAUAAGUCAAGCCCAUCUGUUAUGCCAUUCUUAUCAGAUCAAUACUGAGCUUAGGCGGUCUAGUUGAAUAAACGUUUGCAGUGCUACUAAUGAUAGUACUAGUAAGUAACAUUUGAUGUCAAACAUAACAAAUAUUAC
rnacentral:lncRNA from 1 species